rnacentral:miRNA from 1 species
UGAGCGCGCCGCCGUCGAAUG